rnacentral:rRNA from 1 species
UACGUAGGGACCAAGCGUUGUUCGGAUUUACUGGGCGUAAAGGGCGCGUAGGCGGCGUGGUAAGUCAGCUGUGAAAUCUCCGAGCUUAACUCGGAACGGUCAGCUGAUACUGCUGUGCUAGAGUACAGAAAGGGCAAUCGGAAUUCUUGGUGUAGCGGUGAAAUGCGUAGAUAUCAAGAGGAACACCUGAGGCGAAGGCGAGUCCCUGGACAAUUCCUGACACUGAGGCACGAAAGCUAGGGGAGCAAACAGG